AGCGAACGCUGGCGGCAUGCUUAACACAUGCAAGUCGCACGGGCAGCUUCGGCUGUCAGUGGCGGACGGGUGAGUAACGCGUAGGUAUCUAUCCUUGGGUGGGGGACAACCACGGGAAACUGUGGCUAAUACCGCAUGAUGUCUGAGGACCAAAGGCGCAAGUCGCCUAAGGAGGAGCCUGCGUCCGAUUAGCUUGUUGGUGGGGUAAUGGCCUACCAAGGCUCCGAUCGGUAGCUGGUCUGAGAGGAUGAUCAGCCACACUGGGACUGA
rnacentral:rRNA from 1 species